rnacentral:rRNA from 1 species
UACGAAGGGUGCAAGCGUUACUCGGAAUUACUGGGCGUAAAGCGUGCGUAGGUGAUGAGUUAAGUCUGUCGUGAAAGCCCCGGGCUCAACCUGGGAAUGGCGAUGGAUACUGGCUCGCUAGAGUGCGGUAGAGGAGAGUGGAAUUCCCGGUGUAGCAGUGAAAUGCGUAGAGAUCGGGAGGAACAUCAGUUGCGAAGGCGGCUCUCUGGACCAGCACUGACACUGAGGCACGAAAGCGUGGGGAGCAAACAGG